rnacentral:lncRNA from 1 species
ACUCACUCAGAGGAGAGAAGAUACCUAUAGGCAGAGAUGGCUGGAGUGAAGGAUGAAUAUCCAUGAGUACAGCCUGGGACUCCAAAGCAUUUUUACCAGUUCUUUAAUAAGAAGAGACUGUGAAGGACUUGGAGAAAUCCAGGAGGUACAAUUUAUGUUUAAGGUACCCGAGCAUCAACCCUGAGGUGGAGCUGUCUAGACUAGGUAGUGAUGGUGACUUCAUGAGAGCCAGAGACCCUGGAUCUGGUGAGCAAAGCUGACUGGUGGCAAGACACUGGCAAGAGGAAGAGGUGAAGC